AGCGAUGAACAUUGAAUGAUCCCUUCGGGGUGAUUUCGAUCGGAUUAGCGGCGAACGGGUGAGUAACGCGUGAGGAACCUGCCUCUUACAACGGGAUAGCCUCGGGAAACCGGGAUUAAUACCGUAUAAGACUCCGACACCUCCUGGUGAUGAAGUCAAAGCGUUAGCGGUAAGAGAUGGCCUCGCGUCUGAUUAGCUUGUUGGCGGGGUAACGGCCCACCAAGGCGACGAUCAGUAACCGGCCCGAGAGGGUGAACGGUCACAUUGGAACUGAGACACGGUCCAAACUCCUACGGGAGGCAGCAGUGGGGAAUCUUGCACAAUGGGGGCAACCCUGAUGCAGCGACGCCGCGUGAGCGAUGAAGGUUUUCGAAUCGUAAAGCUCUGUCCUAUGGGAAGAUAAUGACGGUACCAUGGGAGGAAGCCCCGGCUAACUACGUGCCAGCAGCCGCGGUAAUACGUAGGGGGCGAGCGUUGUCCGGAAUUACUGGGCGUAAAGGGUUCGCAGGCGGCAUGGCAAGUCCGAUGUAAAAGGCGAAGGCUCAACCUUCGUAAGCAUCGGAAACUGUCAAGCUUGAGUGAAGGAGAGGCAAGUGGAAUUCCUAGUGUAGCGGUGGAAUGCGUAGAUAUUAGGAGGAAUACCGGUGGCGAAGGCGACUUGCUGGACUUCAACUGACGCUGAGGAACGAAAGCGUGGGUAGCAAACAGGAUUAGAUACCCUGGU
rnacentral:rRNA from 1 species